GGCUGGUCCGAUGGCAGUGGGUUAUCAGAACUUAUUAACAUUAGUGUCACUAAAGUUGGUAUACAACCCCCCUCAUGCUAAAUUUGACUGGCUUAAA
ensembl:misc_RNA Y_RNA Y RNA